CUUACCAUGCAAGUCGAGCGAGAAAAUGGCUUCGGCCAUGAGUAGAGCGGCGGACGGGUGAGUAAUACAUGGAUAAUCUGCCUUUAGGACCGGGACAACCCAGGGAAACUUGGGCUAAUACCGGAUAAGACCACAGAAUCUCCGGAUUCAGCGGUAAAAGGUGGCUUCGGCUAUCACCUAUAGAUGAGUCCAUGUCCCAUCAGGUAGUUGGUGAGGUAACGGCCCACCAAGCCGAAGACGGGUAGCCGACCUUAGCGGGUGAUCGGCCACACGGGGACUGAGACACGGCCCCGACUCCUACGGGAGGCAGCAGUGGGGAAUAUUGGACAAUGGGCGCAAGCCUGAUCCAGCAAUACCGCGUGAGGGAUGAAGGCUUUCGAGUCGUAAACCUCUGUCAGUUGGAACGAUGGGUCUGUAGGUUAAUACCCUGCAGACUUGACGGUACCUUCAAAGGAAGCCCCGGCUAACUCCGUGCCAGCAGCCGCGGUAAUACGGAGGGGGCAAGCGUUGCUCGGAAUUACUGGGCGUAAAGGGUCCGCAGGUGGCUUUGUAAGUUAGAUGUGAAAUCUCAGGGCUCAACCCUGAAACUGCAUCUAAUACUGCAUAGCUUGAGUACAGGAGAGGUUGGCAGAAUUCCCGGUGUAGCGGUGAAAUGCGUAGAUAUCGGGAGGAAUACCAGUGGCGAAGGCGGCCAACUGGCCUGUUACUGACACUCAGGGACGAAAGCGUGGGUAGCGAACGGGAUUAGAUACCCCGGUAGUCCACGCCCUAAACGAUGGAUGCUAGGUGUGGGGAUGAAAAUCUCUGUGCCGUAGUUAACGCAUUAAGCAUCCCGCCUGGGG
rnacentral:rRNA from 1 species